rnacentral:rRNA from 1 species
UUAGAGUUUGAUCAUGGCUCAGGACGAACGCUGGCGGCGUGCUUAACACAUGCAAGUCGAACGAUGAACCACUUCGGUGGGGAUUAGUGGCGAACGGGUGAGUAACACGUGGGCAAUCUGCCCUGCACUCUGGGACAAGCCCUGGAAACGGGGUCUAAUACCGGAUAAUACCUGCUGAGGCAUCUUAGCGGGUUGAAAGCUCCGGCGGUGCAGGAUGAGCCCGCGGCCUAUCAGCUUGUUGGUGGGGUGAUGGCCUACCAAGGCGACGACGGGUAGCCGGCCUGAGAGGGCGACCGGCCACACUGGGACUGAGACACGGCCCAGACUCCUACGGGAGGCAGCAGUGGGGAAUAUUGCACAAUGGGCGAAAGCCUGAUGCAGCGACGCCGCGUGAGGGAUGACGGCCUUCGGGUUGUAAACCUCUUUCAGGAGGGACGAAGCCACUCGGGUUAAUAGCCCAGAGGGUGACGGUACCUCCAGAAGAAGCCCCGGCUAACUACGUGCCAGCAGCCGCGGUA